AUCGGGGCAGAUUUAAACGGCUCCAGAGAGGGUGUGGAACAGAGGUGUGGCAUGUCAGGACAUUUGCACUGCUGUUUGCACAGGCAGGACAAACAGGAAGGACUCCUCUCUGACCAUCUGGGAGCAGCCAACAGAGGCAAUAAAUAGACUCAGAAAGCAGGGUCACCUUUAAGACUACUACAUCACUUGUGUGGAUGGAAAAUCUCUUCUGGACAGCAAGUUCAUCAAGACAAAACAGAAUGUAGCAUGAUAUAGUUGCCUGAGAGUUGGCGCUCUCUAGGAUACCAUAGGUAACUACAGUGGACUGGCAGCUGGAACACAGAGAUUGUUGGAGGCCCUUGCACUUCUUCAGUGGCAGCUGGAGUGUAGAGUACAAAACAGUUUAAGUCCCUUCUUUCUCCAAAGCGAGUCUGUAAUUCUGAUAAUCUUCAAUUACCCCGCACAGAUUGUAACUGGUGACUUUUCUCCAGACCUCAGGUGAGCACUUUGUAAUUAGUGGGUAAGCUAACACAUCGUAGUCUUUAAAGCAAUCACAAAGUUCUAUAUAACUAUGACAUUGGUAACAGAACUCCCUGUAACUGUGGUUUGCUUAUUGGACAGGUUCCUAUUUGUAAUUGGGUAUUUUGGCACCAGAAUGUUAAAUAUCAAGACUUGGAAGAGAGAAGGGAAAGAACAGUAGAGAAACCCUCUCAGCAAUGGAAUUACUUUCACCUUAUCCUUUUUUCUCCUUCUCUUUUUUAUUUACAUGGUCUAUUUACCUGAAGGUAAGAUUGCCCUAUGACUUCAAUAUUGAUUUUUUUCAGGUUACCCUGUUUGGUCUUAAGAGACUUGAUAAUAUGUAAAUAAGGAACAAAAUUUUUUUCUCUAUAGUGUUGCUUUAUUGUUUGUUUUUAUUUGCUUGGAUGGUUGGUCAGUCUUUAAUACAGUUAUUACAAAUAAUUAGAAAAAUAGAGUUUGCAAUGAUAUUUGUCAUCCACUCUCCCAGAGGUAUUGUGUGAGAUGUACCCCUUAAAUUCAGGUCAGUGUAGAUUUAGGCUGGAUUGAUGAAAAGAGAUUGCUAAUUAAAAUAUGUAGAUUCCACCAGGGACCAGUGUAUUUUGAGACACAAAGUGUAAUUUUCAAAUAGCAAUGACUGCAAUCUCAAAAGAUUUUUCAUUGACUUUUCUCCUGCAGUCUUCCAUUAUUUUCAGUUCCCCCACACCAGAGUAGCAGCUGCACUAAUAAAUUAAAAACCUAAAUUCUGGGAUGAAAAGUAGUUUAUUUCACUUCAAAAUGUGGUCACAUUACAAAACAAAAUGAAAACAAAACAAUAAAAUGUAGUAAGACUGUGAUUCUUAAAAUAAGUACAAAAAAUUUUUUACAACUGCAGUCAAAUUCCAAAAAGCAAUUUUCACCUCUUUUUGCUGAAAAGUGAGCCCUUUUACAACAUCUGUAAUGACCAGGCUAGUACAAUACUUUGUAAGAAUAAAAUUACAUACCAUGGAAGUCAGGAUUCUCACAGUGGAUCAAAGCUACAUUUUAAUAUGGCAGAGAGCACUGAAAUACUUUCUCUUACAGCAUAUGCUGCCAGUACCUUUAAAAAAAUUUCUAUCAAUUUUAUGGAUUCAAAAAAAAAAGCUAACAUUCAGUUUGGGUGAAUAAACAGAGAUAUUUCUGAAUGGAAUUAAGUGAUCUUUCUGUAAUAUGACAGUUAGCUUGAAGAAGAUGAAGCUCAGUAAUCAGUUGAUCGUAGCUGAAAUUGGAACUAUAGCCCAAAACAUCUCAUGGACAUAUAUUUUGCUUGCGUUUGGUGGACCUACAAACAUUUCCCUAUACUUUAAAUCAAACAGCAGUCUUUCUUGCAAGAUCUGGAUUGAAUAUUGGGCAUUGCAAAACAAUAAUUUUAAAAAAGGUAUAUAAAAUAGAUUCCUUAAUUGAACUUGAAUGGCUUGAAUUGGUGUUAUCACCUGUCUCUGUCUGCAUUAUUAACUUUUUUUAAGCUCUAAUAUUUUAUUUUGUCUUAAACUUUCAGCCUCCUGAAUUUUUUUCAGCCUAGCUGCAAGCUUUCGUCUGAUUGAUAUAUUGAAUGAAGCAGUAUUUUCAUGAAAAAUUUGACUUCUGUUGACAAAACUUGUCCUUGAAAAAUUGCUAUAUAAAAUCGUUCAAAAAGUUAAACUCUUCCAUUAGAACUGUCAUGACAUCAGUUAAAGGGACCAUUUCAGUCUUUCACUGUUGCAACAAAUGUUUAUCGUCCUCUUUGCAAGAUAAUUCUCUGAAGAUAAAACAAGUUUUCUUCAACAAAAAAUUCAGCUUGUUAGAGACAACAUACUGGUGCUUGCUGACUUCCUACUUACACUCUUUGUAUCUUGGAAUAUAGUAGAAUUUUUCAUUUUAUGAUUAGAGCCCUUUAGAAAAAGUAUUAUCUCUAAAAUAGUUACAUAAUAAUGUGUAUAUUAGACUGUAAUAUAGCUUAUUGCAUUUAGUUUGCUAUAUCUCUACCUUAACCUUUUAAUUUUUAGGUCUCAUACUUCUAGCUUAUAACAUACUGUGGUGGUUUGAGUUGCCCUCCCGGAGGGGGGGCUGGAAGUUCUUGGUCCCAGAUGAGUUUCCGGUGAGGGGCCAAUUGGAGCUGUUUUUCACCACUGUGAAAUUAGGGUAUUACAACAGCCAGAAGGAAGUUGUUGGCAGUGUGAGAGAGAGAGAGAUUCGGAGCCAUGAGGUGAGAGAAGAGAGGCCUGUGGGUCCCUUGAGGGGGCCAUGCCCUCUUUCCCCCGAUGGCUGGACUGCGUGGAGCCCAGGACAGUAUUAAAACUGAACCAAGUGCUGUGGUUAAGGCUAGGGUGCCUUCCCCCCACCACUGCUUAGGAGAGGCAGUGACAUGGAUUUAAGAGGCCAUCCAGGGAGUUGGAGCUAGCCCCCAGUAGGCAGGUACGGCAUUUGGAGCUGAGCCAGAGACGGGCCAAGGGGUGGUCUGGAACCGGAGAAACAACUGCAAUCGUGCAGAGCUGGAAGACCUUGAGGUAGAGGAGAAAGACCAAAGCAGUCUUGCUGCUACCCUCUAUUCUCCUAUAAUGGCGGGGGAGAGGUAAUGACCUUGAACUGAGGCUGAGCAACGGAGAGACAGGCCGAAGGGCUUGGAGGAGGCUCUACGCGAGGUUUGGGUGGGGGCAGCCAAAAACUAAAGGAGGAAUGCAGGAGGGGACAAAUGCCUACCCGUGACAUGUGGAAGCUGAGAAGCUGCAGCAACUGUAAAAGAGAGAAGCCAAACUGAGCAGGCUUUUUCUGGGUAAGGACUUUUGGUGAAAACUAUUUGGGGUAUAAAAAAUGAGCAAGACCCAGAAAUCCUGCAACCUGGAGAGGAAAACUGAGCAUCUUACUCUCUGGGAGGAACCUUCACGAACCAGGGAGAAAAGACUCAAAGCUGACUCUCUGGACCUUGUGAUGAAGACCUGGUAAAACAAGUGUUCCCUUGUAGCCCAGGAGAAGACCUCAGCAGAAGUCAAGGAGCUGGUGGGGGAGCAAAAAACCCCUUCCCUGAUACCCCAAUGAGAGAGAGACUUUAACUAUCGCCCUGGAGGGUUUUUCUUCUGAACUGAUGUGGGAAGACCCCUAGGGGUGGUAGAGAUU